UGAGUAACGCGUGGGAAUCUACCCAUCUCUACGGAACAACUCCGGGAAACUGGAGCUAAUACCGUAUACGUCCUUCGGGAGAAAGAUUUAUCGGAGAUGGAUGAGCCCGCGUUGGAUUAGCUAGUUGGUGGGGUAAUGGCCUACCAAGGCGACGAUCCAUAGCUGGUCUGAGAGGAUGAUCAGCCACACUGGGACUGAGACACGGCCCAGACUCCUACGGGAGGCAGCAGUGGGGAAUAUUGGACAAUGGGCGCAAGCCUGAUCCAGCCAUGCCGCGUGAGUGAUGAAGGCCCUAGGGUUGUAAAGCUCUUUCAACGGUGAAGAUAAUGACGGUAACCGUAGAAGAAGCCCCGGCUAACUUCGUGCCAGCAGCCGCGGUAAUACGAAGGGGGCUAGCGUUGUUCGGAAUUACUGGGCGUAAAGCGCACGUAGGCGGAUACUUAAGUCAGGGGUGAAAUCCCGGGGCUCAACCCCGGAACUGCCUUUGAUACUGGGUAUCUCGAGUCCGGAAGAGGUGAGUGGAAUUCCGAGUGUAGAGGUGAAAUUCGUAGAUAUUCGGAGGAACACCAGUGGCGAA
rnacentral:rRNA from 2 species